UACGAAGGGUGCAAACGUUGCUCGGAAUCAUUGGGCGUAAAGCGCACGUAGGCGGCCUGUUAAGUCGGAUGUGAAAUCCCUCGGCUCAACCGAGGACGUGCACCCGAAACUGACAGGCUCGAGUAUGGAAGAGGGUCGCGGAAUUCCCGGUGUAGAGGUGAAAUUCGUAGAUAUCGGGAGGAAUACCAGUGGCGAAGGCGGCGACCUGGGCCAAUACUGACGCUGAGGUGCGAAAGCGUGGGGAGCAAACAGG
rnacentral:rRNA from 1 species